rnacentral:misc_RNA from 1 species
AGUCUCCCGCUGUCGCUUCGAGGGGUUACCUAUAUAGGUAAGUUGUAUGGUGCGCGCUCCAUUCACACAUUUAAAUCACUCACAGGUUGCUAUAUCUGGAAACAACUUCUCAUUGGGAUUUGUGAUAUCGAUAUUUUAAACAUACAUGUAUAUAUGAGCCCAUUCAUACCGUGGCCAUUUCUUGUUACGAAAGGACAUUCUCUGUAUGUGUUGUUCGACUUGGGACAUAUAUCUUAACAUUAUAGGUAAGUUCUUAUGAAAUACAUGUAUAUUGUAGAAUGAAAUAAUUUAAAAUAUUGGGGAGGGGUAGGGGCUUUCUGUCUUUAAAAAAUGGUCUAAGUUGAAUAUAUAAUUUUAAUUUUGAAAUUUAAGAAAAAUUCUAACUCUAUAUUUUAUCAAUUCAAGUACAUGUAUUACUUUAAUUACCUGGUAAACGUUUCUAAGUAAUGAUUUACGUUUAAUGUUAUAUUUGUUAGCAUAAAUAAUUAAAUAUUUUAAUUAUGAUGGUUAUGAAAAGCACCAAAAUAUAUUUCAUAACGAAAUGCGAUCAAUGUUUAAAGAUUCGACGCAAUAAGAUCUGAAAUUUUUAGAUAUUAUUUUAAUCCUAUUAAAGUUGCACUGAACCUUUGUGUCUGAGAAACCCUGUCAAAGUUUUGUUGCAGGCUAAUUUACUGUUUGAAUGGUGUCAGUUAAACCCAAUUCAUUCUGUCUUUUUAUCUGUUUCAUCCAUAUAUCUCUAUUGACAAAAAAGCAUUUGUUACAGAGCAACGGUAAAGAUGGAUUUUUAUUCUAAGUACAUACGUAUUAAUAGCAACGCGCCACUUUUGUCAAAAUAAAAAAAUCAGAGACCAAAAAAACAACAACAACAACCCAGCAGUUAUACACUGUUUUUUUUUUUAGGGUUGUGAACUUAAACAAUGGCUUCUAACAAUUUCACGAGUCGGUUGCUGAAGUUGAAAAUGGGCCGUCAGCUCAAGCAUGCCCGGGGAAGCGUGACCGCGGCCAACGGAUCUAUUGCCCUGGAGUCCCUGUUCCAGCGCCCCGAUACUGCAUCAGCCAACGCCCUUCGCCAGCCCAGACCGUACAGCGAGCUCCCGGGCCCAAAAGCCUACCCCGUUAUCGGAGGCAUCAUAAACUACCUCCCCGGGGGUCGAUUUCAUAAAAAACAGUUUAUGGACAUACACAGGGAAUGUGUAGAGCAGUAUGGGCCUAUAUACCGGGAAACUUUUGUCCCUGGUAUAGAGUUUGUGCACAUCAGUGAUCCGAAAGACAUCGAAGAGGUGUUCCGAAGCGACUCCCAACACCCCAUACGACAAGCCUUCUUUAUGCUUUCCCACUACAAUAAGAAAUACAACGAAAAUGUCCAAGGACUCCUAACCAGCCAAGGUGACGACUGGAGCAAAAUAAGGAAAAAUGUUCAACAAAAAAUGUUGAAACCAAAAGCAGUUGCUGCCUAUCUUCCAGAGCAUUCCAUAGUAGCAGACGAACUUUGGAAUCAUGUCAUGGCAUUACGUAAUCAGGAAAAGGAGGUGGAUGACUUACGGCCGAUUCUUGACAGAUAUGCAGCCGAAUGUAAAUCUUUUACAAUGAAAAUAAAAAUGACAAUAAACUAACACUUAGAGCAUAAUUACAAUAGUGUUAAUUGUUUUGAAUUAAAACAUUGAAGUGAUUUUGUUUUGGUUGUUACAGGUGUCGGUGUCGUGUGCUUCAGCAAGCGUCUUGGCGCCUUUAGCGACUUGUCCCCAGAAAGUGACGCCCAACGCUUCAUUCAGGCUGUAAGCGUUGUCAUGGAUAUCAGUCAAAAGGAAUUUAAAGAGUUGCCGUGGUAUCGGUUAUUCAAAACAGCGUCCUUCAGAAAACUGAUUGAAGCGCAGGGUUUUAUUCGCGAGUAAGUAAACAGCAGCCAACAUUUAAAACAAAUGUACGCCACGAAUGUCAUGAACUUUCUGUACUCUGUCAGAUUACUGACCCGCACACCUGGUAACAGCCGGCCUUUUUUUGAACUUGUUGACAAAACCACACAACAUUUUAUCGCCUUUUGAUCUGGUCGUGCUAAUUUUAUUCCUGUGUUUUUCAGAAUCGCUGUGAAAUAUUCUCGCGAAGCCUUGGAGAAAUUCAGUCAGGACUCCGCCAUAGACGGCGAACACGGCGAUCUGAUUCCGUACCUCCUGUCUAAGACAGCCCUGUCGGAGCGAGAGGUCCUAACCAUUAUCUGCGAGUUUAUCUUCGCGGGGGUGGACACUGUAAGUGAACUAAUGCAUUGCUCCAAUUACCAAACCCAAAUGUCCUGAAAAGUGCUUUCUGUGCCUAAGAAUAGGAGUGUUUGCUUACUUUGCAAGCACUUGAUCCCGUACCAAGGCCCACUUAUGAGCCCUGUUCUGCCAAGAGAUCCACUGUCAGUGCACCUGUAACAUUUACUAGUAACUGAUUGUUGUCUUCCCAUUAAAGGUCCAUGUUAUUAAAUUGUUAUCACGCACCUACCAUUUGCUCUCGCAUUAGUAGAACAGUUGGUUAUUACUGGUAUCAAAUUAUAUCAUUUCACCAAAUCACACGUAUAAUUUGAUGCUAGGACAUGCAUUGUAUCAUUAUGUAUGUAUUAUGUACUUGGCAGAUAGAGGUUACAGUAAAUUGUAGCAUGGUUACAUGUGCCCUAGUUCGUUUAAAUAGAUACGCAUAUAUAUCAUAUACCCGAUAUAACCUAGUUCCUAUCCUUGACCCCGAGGAGAUGCCUGGACAACUAGUACACUACAGUACAAUACAAAGGAAGCUAUUAUUGACGCUUAUCAAUGCCAUGGCCGUAAUCCACCGAGUGUUUUAAACCAUGUAAUACAAUGUUGCAGGUUUUUAUUUUUUGUAGACUAGCCACCAUUUGUCGUUUGUCCUGUAUCUACUUGGAACGCAUCCAGAAAUCCAGCAGAGGGUAUACCAGGAAAUCAAAACAACCCUUGGAGACAGCAAAGAAAUCACCGAGUCCCACAUCGGCAAAAUGUCCUACCUGAAAGCCGUAACCAGGGAAACACACAGGUACGAUACAGAGCCCACGGUGCACUGCCACCAAGUCUUGUAUGUUCUGCUCUAUUCCAAAACACUAAGCAACCAUACACAUCUCUGUUCUUCUUUCACAGACUCCUGCCUGUCGCCCCCGGAAAUAUCAGAACCUCCUCCAAAGACAUCGUCCUGUCCGGAUACACAAUCCCUGCCGGGGUAAGAAUUGACCAUAACAUGGCACAACCACAGGCCUUUGGUGGCGUAGCGGUACAGGAUGUCGUUCUAAAGUCUUUGUUUUCUUUUUCCAGGUACAAAUUGCUAUGCAUCACGACUUUAUUAGCACAGAAGAUGCUUAUUUCGACAAUGCUGAACAGUUCAUUCCCGACAGAUGGUUGAGAUCCAACCAAGCAAGAAAGGACCGACACCCGUUUGCCUCCGUUCCGUUCGGGUUCGGUCCCCGGGCGUGUAUCGGAAGAAGAUUCGCCGAGCAGGAGGGUCACAUAGCACUCAUUAAGGUACUUCAUCCAUUACUUCAUCCAUCCUUGUUAACCUACUGGAAACCGUCAACCGGGCUUUACUAAAAAUGCAAAUAAUCAAAUCUUAUUUUGUAGGUUCUGCGAGAUUACAGAGUUGAGUACACGGGAGGGGAACUUCAGAAAGAAUGCUCCAUAACGUACUCCCCCGGAAACAAGAUGACCUUCCGGUUUCACGAGCGAUGACGAGAAAGUAAUGGACAGAGAUAACCAAGAUCCAGGUUCCAGUUCCGAGGGGCGACAACGUAGUUCCGAACCGAACGAGAAGGGGACAUCUCCGGACCGGAGACGGCGUGAUGAAUCAGUGGCGAGAGGAGAACUCUUGAAACAAGCCUUGCGUCAAAUCAUCGGUUGGCCGAACUAUUAUAUUCCAUUUCAUAUUGUGCUAGUAGAUGUGCAGUAUUGCAGACAUUGUCUUCCUACGUGUGUUUCAGGUCAAUAAAACUAUGUAUAAAGUCAAUAAAACUAUGUAUACAGU